CGGAGCAGUAGGGGGUCGUCCCAUGAGGGCGGACCUGCGGGGACAAGAGAGGAAAGGCAGCAUUUGGUGAAAGGUUGUUGCACAGAUUCCCCCCUCUCUCUCCAUCCUCUCAGGUCCUGGUUAAUCCUUCUCUAAGCUGCUGUCACAUGAGGUCUAGCUGUGAGAGAGCAAGAGAACAGAGAGAAUCCUGAUUUCUCCAGUCAUCAAGGAGGUCCCUGGCCUACAGAAAUGCCAUUGCCUCCCCCAACUGUUCUUACUGUAGAGUGGCAGAGGAAGCCAAACACCACCAUGACGAUGGCUGGCGUGAGGAUGGUGCCAAACACCAGUCCAGCAAGGCAGGCGUUGAUCGCGGCAAUCACCAGGUUCUGAGCCGUCACCAGCACGGAGCACGCCCAGCAGUCCAGGGACCCCCUCAGCUCCAGAGGCGCCUCACUACCCCCACCGCCGCUCUCUGCUGCAGAAUAAGGAGGAGGUAUUUCAGAGAUGCUACGCUCCACGACCCACCUCAACGCAGGUUGCUGGCUAUCUCCAAUCAAACCGUCCUCUACGAAGUUUCUCUACAAGAACAUGUCGAUAAGUUCAGUCCAUCAUCAUCACCAGCACCAGUG